AAGGGUUACUUCUUUUAAACAUCUCAAAUCACAUGUUAACAUAUCAACACAUUCACAGAAAACAGCCCACCACUGGAGACAGCCUGCUCUCAGGGAUGGACUGAGAAAGAGGCGGAGUUUUUAAAAGCUGGCAAUCCUUGAAAGAUCAAAGGCUAACCCAGAAAGGGUGAGAAAGACAGCUAUGAAGCCACAUGACAAGAGUGUGCAUCGUGAAAGCAGUACCUCCUGCUGCUGCAAAAGGGCCUCAGUGCUCUAUUAAUACACGUACUAGAAGCUGUAUCCUGGGGCUAACUGUAUGCAAUGUUACUGAUGAUGCAAGGACCCACUGUGUAAAAAUCAAGAACAAAGUUUUGACCGAGAUCCGAGCCCCAGAGUAAACCAUAAUUUCCCUUCACCACCAUAUUAGGAAACUUGUGCCAAGAACUGUAUUCUUUACUUGGCUUGUUUUCUAGCAGCUUAAGAAAUAAAUGUGCACAAGGACAGUCUAAGUUUAUGUAUGUAUUUUAAAAAUAUAAAAGUGGUUUCACAUGAGUUACAGAUUGCCAGUUACAAAAAGGACAAUCAGUUUCUGCUGUGAUGUUUUGCCCACAUUUGAACUAUUAGAAUGUUCGCUUCAAAAUUCUCUCUCCUUGUGAGAACAAAUUACCAUUUUUUGCACAUUGGUGGGGUCACAACUGUCACUGGUGCCUACUUACUGCUGCUACUGAGCCAGUGGUAAGAACAAAGCAGUCUGCUUUCGUACAUUGCAACAGUGAAGGAUUCCAUCCUAUUCCCAGUUAAAGUGCAGCCAAGUCAGACAAGUGACUAUGCAUUUAAAAAAUGAGAGAGAGAAUGCAAUUUCCUGUUGGACCUAUCUGCUUUCCUGGAUGUCCCUGCGUUGAUGUGCUGGCUUUACUCACAAAACCUGUUUUGGCUGUUGGGCCAACCGUGUCAUUCAACAUGAGCUCAUUGUCAACAACACAAUCAGUUGAAUGGUGAUUCUUGUUACAGGUGAUGCCAAGAUAGGCAGCAAUAAUAUCACUUGAGAGUCAGAGCCCAGGUGGGGCUUCCAACAAAGGUCAUUAUGAAAACCAUCUUUUGACUUAAAGCCGAUCAGAUUUGGUCAGAACAUUAAGCACAUGCUUCCCUGUCGUAUUUUUUAAAAAGUUUAUUUUUCUGACUAUUAACUGCACUUUAAAACUAGGUUGUGUUAGAAUCCAGAGGACAAGACAGACUCUUUUGGACCAGUUCCUAAUUUUCAAACAGUUAAUAAUAAUACAAGCUGUUGCACUGCACUUGAACCAGUUCUACCGUAACCUAAUUAUGUUUCUUUACUGGGGCAAAAGUAUGAUCAUGACCAAAUGCUGAUGGAUGCGUGCAUUUGGAAGGAGCGAUUUCUAUUACCAAAAAACAGUAUCUUCUGCUGUACUACAGAGAGGAGCUGUGAAUAAGGCUGAAAGAGGCUCUCAGGAGAAAUAAAUUGUAAUUCAUAUGCAGCAGGAGCUUUUAUAGUCUGCUGCUCCUAUCAUCCUGUGAUGCUAUGUUGGCAAUAAUGGAAAAUAUGGAUGCACAUUUAAACUCACCUCUGGAAAGGAAAUCCAAGAUUCUACUGACCCAAGCCAGAUCUUUUAUAAAAAAAAC